rnacentral:rRNA from 1 species
AACGUAGGUGGCAAGCGUUAUCCGGAUUCACUGGGCGUAAAGCGCACGCAGGCGGCUCGGUAGGUAGGGCAUGAAAUCUCCUGGCAUAACUAGGAGACGCUGUCCUAAACCCCCGAGCUUGAGGAUGGGAGAGGGCAGUGGAAUUGCCGGUGUAGUGGUGAAAUGCGUAGAGAUCGGCAGGAACACCAGUGGCGUAAGCGACUGCCUGGCCCAUAUCUGACGCUCAGGUGCGAAAGCUAGGGGAGCGAACGGG